UACGAAGGGUGCAAGCGUUACUCGGAAUUACUGGGCGUAAAGCGUGCGUAGGUGGUGAGUUAAGUCUGUCGUGAAAGCCCCGGGCUCAACCUGGGAAUGGCGAUGGAUACUGGCUCGCUAGAGUGCGGUAGAGGAGAGUGGAAUUCCCGGUGUAGCAGUGAAAUGCGUAGAGAUCGGGAGGAACAUCAGUUGCGAAGGCGGCUCUCUGGACCAGCACUGACACUGAGGCACGAAAGCGUGGGGAGCGAUCCGG
rnacentral:rRNA from 1 species